rnacentral:lncRNA from 1 species
UUUCACUUCAAUCUCACUCUUUUCUCUUCAAGUUUGGUCAACUCCUGACAGACGGUGGCGUGAUAGCAGAUCCCUUUGGGUCACACGGUGCGGCGGGAGCGCUUAUGUCUAGGCUGGCACCCUGCGUUCCCCCUCUUGGAGUUGGAUGCUUGGCCGCUUGCGCCUGGUCUGGAUCCCGAGCCGGCGACACGCUGGCCGCACGCCACCUCCUCGUCCGAUCCGUUGUCUCGCAGCCACCGACGGAGGGAUUCAAAAAACCGCGCGACACGGCCCUGACAUAACCCAACGUCUCCUUCUGCGCCC